CGGCUAUUAUAGAAGUGAACAUUCUGAUAGAGACAGUAUAACAUUAAUCUAAAUGCAUAUUGGAAAAUAAAGGUAGCAAGAAAGACGAAUCCAAGGUAAAUCUGAUUUUCCAUAUUACAAAAACAGAAAGUUAAUUCAAUAAUGUGCCUCAGAAUACAGAUAGGGAGCACAUAAUAAGUACAAAGUGCAUGGAGAGAAAUAAGAAUUACAAGAACAGCCUCCAAGUGAAUAAUUCGUCCAGGCAUGACUUUCCACAACAAGCUUUCACACAACUGGUUAAUCAAAAAUCAAAUAAAUUCAUGAUGUUAAAAGGAAUGCUUCUCAGCAUAUUAUCUAGGCCACAAAUCUCACUCACCAAGCUUUGAAAGCCAUACACAACACAAAUAAGCAUUUUGUUUAUCAUGCACCCAGAAUUUGUUCAUAGUAAAGACGUAUGGACUCAGCUUCUUCAUCUGUUGAAACCGAACUGAUUAAUCCAAUGAACCCAUAAAAUUCUUCCUGAUUACAAAAGUAGCUAGAGGUUUUGAUGGUAUUGAUAUAUUUUCAAUCCAUUCUUCAUUAUUUUGAUGGUAUAAAACAGAAGUAGUUACCCUCCCAAAAUGAUGCAGGGAAAGCUGAAGAGGCGAGAAAGGAAAGAUAAAAGGGGGGAAAUUAAACAGAAAUAGAAAGAGAAGUCUUAAUUUGCUGUAGAUAUUACAUGAUUAACUGCUGCAAACAGCUUACUACAAUGAGAAUAACAUGCUUAAACACAUCAGCUCCAAUUGUUUAGCAUUUCAAUAUUCCAUUUCUUUAAUUUGACAACAUGUUUUGCCCAAUCGCGUAAAGUUGACCCAAACAGUACCCAGGUUCAAUGUAAACAUAAUUUACUGCAGAAAUCAUUUAUCAAGAAAAUUGUGGAUAGACCAUGAUAUUCUUG
rnacentral:misc_RNA from 1 species